CUGGUUGAUCCUGCCAGUAGCAUAUGCUUGUCUCAAAGAUUAAGCCAUGCAUGUCUAAGUACAAGCCGCUAGUACGGCGAAACCGCGAAUGGCUCAAUAAAUCAGUUAUGGUUCCUUAGAACAGUUCAAUCCUACUUGGAUAACUGUGGUAAUUCUAGAGCUAAUACAUGCACUCAAGCUUUGACUCGGUGGGUGUCGAAGCCUGCCGAGAAGAAGCGCUUUUAUUAGAUCAAAACCAGUAGAGGGUGUCAAAGCUCUCGACUACUCUUUGGUGACUCUGAAUAACUUCACGCUGAUCGUA
rnacentral:rRNA from 1 species